rnacentral:snRNA from 1 species
CUGCUCAGCAGCACACAUACUAAAAUUGGAAUAAGAUUAGCAUGGUCCCUAUGACCAUGAUGACAUGUAAGUUCAUGAAGGGUCCCAACCUUAA